GAUGAACGCUAGCUACAGGCUUAACACAUGCAAGUCGAGGGGCAGCAUGGUCUUAGCUUGCUAAGGCCGAUGGCGACCGGCGCACGGGUGAGUAACACGUAUCCAACCUGCCGUCUACUCUUGGACAGCCUUCUGAAAGGAAGAUUAAUACAAGAUGGCAUCAUGAGUCCGCAUGUUCACAUGAUUAAAGGUAUUCCGGUAGACGAUGGGGAUGCGUUCCAUUAGAUAGUAGGCGGGGUAACGGCCCACCUAGUCUUCGAUGGAUAGGGGUUCUGAGAGGAAGGUCCCCCACAUUGGAACUGAGACACGGUCCAAACUCCUACGGGAGGCAGCAGUGAGGAAUAUUGGUCAAUGGGCGAGAGCCUGAACCAGCCAAGUAGCGUGAAGGAUGACUGCCCUAUGGGUUGUAAACUUCUUUUAUAAAGGAAUAAAGUCGGGUAUGGAUACCCGUUUGCAUGUACUUUAUGAAUAAAGAUCGGCUAACUCCGUGCCAGCAGCCGCGGUAAUACGGAGGAUCCGAGCGUUAUCCGGAUUUAUUGGGUUUAAAGGGAGCGUAGAUGGAUGUUUAAGUCAGUUGUGAAAGUUUGCGGCUCAACCGUAAAAUUGCAGUUGAUACUGGAUAUCUUGAGUGCAGUUGAGGCAGGCGGAAUUCGUGGUGUAGCGGUGAAAUGCUUAGAUAUCACGAAGAACUCCGAUUGCGAAGGCAGCCUGCUAAGCUGCAACUGACAUUGAGGCUCGAAAGUGUGGGUAUCAAACAGGAUUAGAUACCCUGGUAGUCCACACGGUAAACGAUGAAUACUCGCUGUUUGCGAUAUACUGCAAGCGGCCAAGCGAAAGCGUUAAGUAUUCCACCUGGGGAGUACGCCGGCAACGGUGAAACUCAAAGGAAUUGACGGGGGCCCGCACAAGCGGAGGAACAUGUGGUUUAAUUCGAUGAUACGCGAGGAACCUUACCCGGGCUUAAAUUGCAGAUGAAUUACGGUGAAAGCCGUAAGCCGCAAGGCAUCUGUGAAGGUGCUGCAUGGUUGUCGUCAGCUCGUGCCGUGAGGUGUCGGCUUAAGUGCCAUAACGAGCGCAACCCUUGUUGUCAGUUACUAACAGGUUCCGCUGAGGACUCUGACAAGACUGCCAUCGUAAGAUGUGAGGAAGGUGGGGAUGACGUCAAAUCAGCACGGCCCUUACGUCCGGGGCUACACACGUGUUACAAUGGGGGGGUACAGAGGGCCGCUACCACGCGAGUGGAUGCCAAUCCCCAAAACCUCUCUCAGUUCGGACUGGAGUCUGCAACCCGACUCCACGAAGCUGGAUUCGCUAGUAAUCGCGCAUCAGCCACGGCGCGGUGAAUACGUUCCCGGGCCU
rnacentral:rRNA from 1 species